rnacentral:rRNA from 1 species
UACGAAGGGGGCUAGCGUUGCUCGGAAUCACUGGGCGUAAAGCGCACGUAGGCGGCUUACUAAGUCAGGGGUGAAAUCCUGGAGCUCGACUCCAGAACUGCCUUUGAUACUGGUGAGCUUGAGUCCGGAAGAGGUGAGUGGAACUGCGAGUGUAGAGGUGAAAUUCGUAGAUAUUCGCAAGAACACCAGUGGCGAAGGCGGCUCACUGGUCCGGUACUGACGCUGAGGUGCGAAAGCGUGGGGAGCAAACAGGG